rnacentral:miRNA from 1 species
UAAUGCCCCUAAAAAUCCUUAA